rnacentral:lncRNA from 1 species
GCACACCAUUUUGACACCCUACAUGGUUUACAAUCGGUACCUCAGGUUACUCUUGAACAACACUCAUAUGCAUUGAACAAUUAUCCAGGAGCUCAAAUAACCUAGAGUUAAUCUACACGUAGUGUUGGUUCAUCAUGACAGCCAGUUCAUGGCCUGACGCACCACACGAGGGUGGUUGGUUGCUUCCAACUAAAACUCAGCAGCGUUGGUUGCUUAGUGUAUGAAAAGACGACUUUCAAGCCCGACAAGAUGCGGUGUUGAUACGACGCGAACCGGGGCAGCGGCGGCGCUAAGGUUUGAGGUUGCAUCUUUGUCGCCUCCAGUGGCCAGAUACGACUCUCCGGCCAAGUUCUAGUGUAUUCCUUUUCAGGUACAUCUUCUUUUUCACUUAGAUCCAUAACCACAAAGGUUAGACCCGACAGCUUGGUAAGUCUCAGGCUUCUUAUUUUUUAUAGUUUUCCGACACUUUGUGUCUCCAGCAAAGGUUUGCUCUGAUGACUUAAAACCCACAUUGUAUGUCACUUCUCUAACCCAAUCUACGCUAUAUAGUACUAAACCCGACUAUUGGAGUUCUCUGGCAACGAUGAUGGUGAUGGUUCUUGAUUCAGUUGGUGCAUAUUGAGGCACUUGGAAUUGAUUUGGUAGGUAUUUGGGUGUUCGGGUACUAAGCUUUGGUCAACGACAGUCAACUAGUCAACCUGGUCAACUAGCUAGAUCUGGUCAAGGCCCGAGACAAAGGGUUAAAGUCAGAUUCAGCUCGGGAAGGUACGUUAAAACUAUGAUAC